rnacentral:piRNA from 1 species
UUCACUUAACGAGUGUGUAGGCACCUUCUA